rnacentral:rRNA from 1 species
UACGUAGGGUGCGAGCGUUGUCCGGAAUUAUUGGGCGUAAAGAGCUUGUAGGCGGUUUGUCGCGUCUGCUGUGAAAAUCCGGGGCUCAACCCCGGACUUGCAGUGGGUACGGGCAGGCUAGAGUGUGGUAGGGGGAGACUGGAAUUCCUGGUGUAGCGGUGAAAUGCGCAGAUAUCAGGAGGAACACCGAUGGCGAAGGCAGGUCUCUGGGCCACUACUGACGCUGAGAAGCGAAAGCAUGGGGAGCAAACAGG